GGAAAAGAACAGAGGGCGUGGGUGACUGCUGCCGCGUCGACGGGAAGCCACGUGCGCCUCCUACAGAAGUGCCACCCACGCCGGGACUUCAGGAGGGCAGCCGGUCACGACAGGAGCGUCGGACACGGUGGCGCCUCGUUCCCUGGCCCCGCUCAUCCCUGACCAGACUAGGAGUGUAGGUCUGAGCCGGCCUCAGGCCUGGACGCCAGCCACCUGUUUGCGCGGUGGACAGAUCCGCCCGUCGGAAAACAGGCUCAGCCUGGCUGUGCUCCUGGGGCUGCGCUACGUGGCACCGUGCCUUUCGGAGAAGCGCGGCUGGGGCCGGGGGAGGACGGACGCGUCUGUUCGGUUUCAGGGUCAAAGCUGGGAGAAACGCCGAGUUCACGGCAGGUGGCCCUGCUUCCCCAGGGGAGUUACGGUUAUAUCGGGAAGGGGUAUCGACGGCUCUGAUGGAGUCUGGAGCGCGUGUUGUCACGGUGUCUGGAGAGCCUCGACCAGUCCUCCCAGGCAGCUCCUCUGCCAGGGUGACCGUUUGCUGUGGAAACUUCUCCACACCUGGAUGGCCUGUGACCCAGGCUCCCCUCCCCUCCCCCACCGCCACCUCGGGACAGUAAGGCCCUGGGCCCAGUUCCCUCUAAGUCAUGCUUUUGGCAUCAGGAAGGAUGCCUCUCUUGCAGAGAAACGACUUAUCCCCAGCACGUUUUAGCGGGAACCUGCCCGGCACGCUCUUCCUUUUGCACACUAAGCAAGAUGGUUUGAGCUCGGCUCAGGACCGAUUCCAAGAGCCGCUGAGUGCCGGGCAUCUCUCUGUGAGGACAUGUGGUCAACCUGGCAGUGCUCCUCAAGCCACAGAUCUUCGGGCUGUUCCCCCCAGCGUGCUGUCCUCUGGACUGUGAGCUGGCCCAGGCAGGGGGCUGUGGGUAAGAGACCCAGGGAGACGUAGAGGCAGUGCCUGGAGGACUUUGGAGCGUAUCAUGCCAGGCCCCUCCGGGUGCGAGAGACAGAAAACCCAGGGCAGACUGGCCUAGAGAAAGUAGGAGAUUUACCGACUCAUCUGACUGAACAGAAUCCAGGACUUCAAAAAGUUAGAUCCAUGGACGGUUUUCCCUGUCCAUUUUAUGGCUUCAUCUUUGUAUUGCUUUAUAUAAUGCCAGCUGCUCCCCGAAGGUGGCUGCUGUGCUAGUUAAGAAUAGUCCCUGUGUUUAUGUAAAGGCACCCAGUGUAUUAGUUUAUAUGGUGACAGUCCCUGCGUUUAUACAGCAAUUCCUGUAUCAGUUUAUAAAGGCAGCCCCUGCGGUAGUCUAUCUAACAGUCCCUCUAUUAGUUUAUCUAACGCUAGUCUCUGCAUAAGUUUAUGUAAUGAUAGCCCCCUCACCCCCCCCACACCAUACUAACUUACAUAAAUGCAACCCCUGUCUUACUUUACAUAACGGGGCACCCGGGCAGAUGGCCACCCCACCUCUAGGCCACCUGUCCAGGUUCAGAUCCCACAGUAUAGAGGCUCCCUCUGGGACCGGCCACGCAGCUCCGGGGCUCUGCUUGGAUGGACGUGAGUCCUAGGCAUACUCUGAGCCAAUCACGAGAGUCCGAGAACCGGGCUCCGAUUGGUCAGGCCAGGCAGCAGGUCCGAGGUGGUCCCCAUCAGGGACUCUUACCAGAGAGGGCUGGGCACUGGGCAGUCGCAGGGCAGGACACCGGACACUGGCUUUUCGCACCCUCUCUCCUGGCUGGCUGAGCUCCUGUCCUGGGAAAGCAGGAGCUCACAGAGAAGCUCAGACCCCGGCCUGAUCCCCUGACGAGGACACAGCAGAGCUGCUUGUUCCCCAGGCUGCCUGGACCCCUGGCUGAGACCCCCGUAGGGAGAAACCUGUACAGAAGGGACUGCGUGCAGGUCAGGGCUCAGCCCCAUGGCGAACUGGGGUCUCGGACACCGGUGGUCGCUGGGCACGAGGAUUCCCGGGGAGGGGCGCCCUCAAGCAGGCGCUCAUGUCGUGGACUCGGUGUGGUCCACCGUGCACAUCAGCGCGGUCCAGGAGCUCGCACUGCCUGGGCCCAUCCCGCCCCGCCUCAGGAUCCCCACAGCUGUUGCCCGAGCCCAGGGCCCGUGGGAGUCCCGUCCAGCAAGGCCGAGGUCCCCACCACGUGUCCCGACAAGGCCCCAGCGGGUCUCUCUGUGACUGACACUCCAGGCCAAGGGUCUGCAGGGAAAAGGCCGGGCAUCAAGUGUGGGCUGGUGGGAGGCCAGGGACUCCCUGAGGGCCCUGCACCCCGCAUCUGUGGGCACGGCCCGGCCAUGGGCUCGUGUGGCCUCCUGCAGCGCUGUCUGAGGUCCGGUGGAGCCCGGGGCUCGGGAGGACGCGGGGCUUGGGAGGAGCAGCUGCCGGGGCUGUGGACGCCUUCGGCGGGGACGGGAAGACGUGCACCCUGCGGCUCCCCUAGAUGGCGGCCACAGACGUGCGGCUCUGGAUGUGAUGUGCAACCUGGGAAGGUAACAGGUGGUGACCCUCUGACGUGUGGCUCAGGGACGUUGACCUGCGGAUACAAUGGACCGUCGAACAUGGGGACCCGGGACGUGAGGUGGGCUGUGGGGCUCUGAGAAAGCACGUGGACAGGGUGACACAGAGGUGUGACGUGCAGCCCAGCAGAGGACAUUGGACGGCUGAUAUUGGCCAUGAGGUGCGCGACCUGUGGAUACAACAGAUGGCAUCAGAGGUGGGGAUUCAGGACAGGACAUGCGACCUGCGGCUCUAGCACGUGACAUGCCCCGCGCUGCUCUGACAGGUGACGUCACAAGUGGGGAUCCAGGACAUAACCUGUGCCGGGCGGCUCUGCAGGCAACGCCAGAUGUGUGGCUCCGGGACGUGAAAUGCAUGAUACAACAGAUGACGUCAGACCUGUGGCUCUAGAACAGGACUUGGGACGUGCGGCUCUGGCAGAUGACAUCGACGGGCUGAUACAGGAGGAGACAUGAGCCCUGCGCCUAUGACACAUGACGUCACACGUGGGGAUCUGAGACCUGACGUGCCAGACAUGCUGAUAUCACAGAUGGGGACACCCGUGGGGAUCCCGGACGUGACGUGCGCCCCGCGGCUCUGAUGACCACGACGUCGGAGAGCCGCACCCCGAGCCGCGUCCCCGCAGGAUGCCCAUCCAGCCCGAGCGGCCGGGAGGUCCCCGCGCGGAGCCCCCUUCCCCUCCCCGGCCGAACUCCUCCUUAGCGGCCGGUCCGCAGAGUCCCCUCCGCGCCAGCACCGCCCGGGGCAGGUGUUCCCCGCCACCCCCCACGUCCCCCCCCUCAGAGCGGGUCUCCGGGCGGCAGGUCCAGACCCGGUUCGGCCGGUGGGCCCGUGUCAGACGGACCGGGGGACGGGGCGGCGGACCCGGGGGAGGCGGUGCCCGCACCCUUCCUCUGCCUGAGCACACGUCCUCCGACGGAGCCCGAGGGCCAUCGCCAGGCCCCAGAGGAGGGGCCCCGACGUGCCCGGGGCGACGUGGUCCCCGCCGGUGUCAUCUGCCAGCCGCCGCUGGCUGUGCCAGGGCCCGCGUGUGCCAGGGAGGCAGAUGGUUCUCUCCUCUGCCUAACGUGCCUCCUGGCAGCUGGGCCAGCUCAGGGGCAGGAGCAGCAGGUGUUUUCCUGCCCUGUGCGGCAGCCUGGAGCAAGCCCCGCCCCCGCCCGCCCCGCCCCCCGGGCAGGUGCCGCCUCCUGCCCUCCCCCCAGCGGGCCCCUGAGAGCCAGAGCAGAGGCCCAGUGGCUGGGAGAGAAGGGCUGGCUUCCUCCACCCCGAGGACCGGCCCCGUGUCCCAGGAGGGAGCGGCGGUGCCCGCGGCCCGUGACCCAGGCACCGAGCCCGACGGAAGGGAGGUGUCUCUACCCUGACCUGGCAGACAUGGAAGCACGUUUCCUAGACUAGUCUACACUGCUGUGAAUGUCUCCCAGCUUCCCCAGACGUGUCUUCAAUAACCUUUGAUAUCCUCUUAAUUCACCAGCUACGUCUGCGCUGACCUGGGAUCUCUCUCUAAUACCCUAGAUAUUUCUACCCUGACCUGGAAUGUUUUCUUCAUUCACCAAGUAUGUCUGCCCUAAACUUAAAUACUCCUGAAAAUUCCUAGGCAUGUUUUCUCUGAUACCCCCUUGUAGCCCACUUGUGUCCACACUAACACGAACAAAUUCCUAAUUCCCAGAUGUUUCUACUAGGACUUGGGAUGUCACCCUCCUUCCCCAAGUAUGUCUGCUCUGACCUGGCACAUGUCACUAAUUCCUAAGGUGUGUGUCCACUGACCUGGGAUAUGUCAUUAAAACAGGGGCUUAUCUGUACUGCUAUGGAGUCUGUUUCUCUGUUGUCCCUACAGUGGAAGUGUCUCCUAACUGCACAGGUGUUGGCUGUCUUGAACCUCAGUGUCUUCCUAAUUCCUGAGACGCAUCUAGACUGACUUGGACCGUUUCACUAAUUCCUCAGGUAUAUCUACCAAAAAUGGUAUCUUUUCCUAAUUUAUCAGGGUGUCUGCACUGACCUGGGAUAGUUUCUUAAUUCCCUAGGUGUUUCAACACUGAGCUGCUAUAACUCCAUAGGUUUCCAGGUAUGUGCACCUCAACAUUAGAUGUUUUGGGUUUUUUUAAAUUUUUAUUGGGAUAUAAUUGACUUAAUAUAACAUUAAGUUUUAGCACAUUGAUUUGAUACAUUUUUGUGUUGCAAUAUGAUUACCACUGUAGCAUUAGUUAAUACAUUUAUCCCACCACAGAUUAUUUCUUUUUUGCAAUGAGAACAGUUGAGAUCUAGUCAGCAGCCCCGACGUUUGUAACACAGUCCUGUUGGCUAUAAACACUAGCUGUACAUUCGAUUCCCGAGCUGCUUCAUCUCCUGGUUACAAGUUUCCACCCUGACAUCUGCCCAGUUCUCCCACCCCUCAGCCACCGCAGCCACAGUUUGCCCCGGUUUUGCAAGUUUGACUUGUUUUACAUAUGAGGGUAUACAGUGUUUGUCUUUCUCGGAUUCAUUUCACUUACUGUAAUGUUCUCAAGGUCCAUCCUGUGGUACAAAUGUCAGGAUUUCCUGCUUUCUCGUGUCCCAGUAUUCCAUGGUGUGUCCACACACCUUUAAAGCUGUUUUUUUUUAAUGUUUAUUAAUUUUUGAGAGAGAGACACAGCAUGAGCAGGGGAGGGGCAGCGAGAGAAGGAGACACACAAUGCAAAGCAGGUCCAGGCUCUGCACUGUCAGCACAGAGCCCGAUGCGGGGCUCGAACUCACAAACUGAGAUCAUGACCUGAGCUGCAGUCAGAUGCUUCAUCGACUGAGCCACCCAGGUGCCCCACACACCAUCCUUCUUAUCCACUCACUCAUCGGUGAACAUUUCAGGUGUUUCCAUAUCUUGGCUGUUGUGAGUAAUAAUUACUAUAAUGGGGCGCAGAUAUCUUUUCGAUAUUGUAUCUUCGUUUCCUUCAGGUGUAUACCCAGAAGUGGGUCUCGUGGGUCAUACGGUUGUUCUGCGUUUUUAAAGUAGCCUCCGUAUUUUCCAUAGGGGCUGAACGCUCCCACCACAGCGCACAUGGUUCCCGUGUCUGCGCGUCCUCACCAACACUCUCCCUUGUCGUCUUGGUGACAGCUGUUCCAGCAGGUGCCAGGUGGUAGCUCAUUAUGAUCUUGAUCUGCAUUUCGCUGAUUAUUAGGGUUGUGGAAUAUCUUUUCACGUAUGUACCUGCUGACCAUUUGAAUGUCUUCUUUGGAAAAAUGUUAGUUCCUCUGUUUUUUCAAAGAUUGUUUGGGGUUAUUACUGAGUAGUAUGUUCUUUAUAUAUUUUCAAUUUUUACCCUUUCCUCAAUGGUUUGCAAAUAUUUUUCUCAUUCCACAGACUGCCUUUUUGUUGGUUUUUUAUUUUUUUUUUACUGUUCCUUUGCAGCGCAGAGGCUGGUUAGUUUGACACCGUCCCGCUGGCUUUUUGCUUUUGUUGUGCUUUUGCUGUCGUAUCCCCAAAACCAUUUCCAAGCCCAACCUCAGGGAGCUUCUUCCGGCGUUUUCUUCUGGGAGUUCUGUGGCAUCAGCCUUUAUGUUUAAGUCCUUAAUGUAUUUAGAGUUAAUUUUGGAGAGUUGAGUGGUGUAGGAUAGGGGUCCAAUUUCAUUUCUCAGCAAACAGCUGUCUAGUUUUCCCAACACCAUUUGCUGAAGAGACCCUCCUCUCCCUAUUAGGUAUUUUUGGCCCCCUUGGCAAAGAGUAGUGGAUCGUAAAUGUGUGGGUUUAUUUCAGGGUGCUCUGUCCUGUUUUAUUGGUCUUUGUUUUUAUGCCAGUACCAUAUUGUUUUAAUUGCAUGGUUUUGUAGUAUAGUUUGAAACCAGGCAGUGUGAUGUCUCUGGAUUUCCUUUUUUUUUUUAUCAGGAGCGUUAUAUUUGGGGGUGCCUGGGUGGCUCAGUUGGUUAAGCAUUGGACUGUUUUUGGCUUAGGUCAUGAUCUCACGGUUUGUGAGUUCAACCCCCUCACCGGGCUCUGUGCUGACAAUUUGGAGCCUGCUUGGGAUUCUUUCCCUCUCUCCCUCCUCCACUCACUCUGUUUCUCUCUCAAAAAUAAAUAAACUUAAAAAAAAAAACAGAUUGUUCUAUUUGGGUCAUUCUUUGGGGAGAGUUCCAUAUAAAUUUUAGGAUUUUUUCUGUUUCUGUGAAAAAUGCCAUUGGAAUUCUGACAGGUGUUAUGUUAAAUCUGCAU